rnacentral:tRNA from 1 species
GGGUUGUUAGCUCAGUUGGUAGAGCAGCGGACUCUUAAUCCGUCAGUCGAGAGUUCGAGUCUCUCACAACCCACCA